rnacentral:rRNA from 1 species
AACGGACGCUGGCGGCAUGCCUAACACAUGCAAGUCGGACGAAGCCUUCGGGCUUAGUGGCGCACGGGUGCGUAACGCGUGGGAAUCUGCCCUUUGGUUCGGAAUAACAGUUGGAAACGACUGCUAAUACCGGAUGAUGACGAAAGUCCAAAGAUUUAUCGCCAGAGGAUGAGCCCGCGUAGGAUUAGCUAGUUGGUGUGGUAAAGGCGCACCAAGGCGACGAUCCUUAGCUGGUCUGAGAGUAUGAUCAGCCACACUGGGGCUGAGACACGGCCCAGACUCCUACGGGAGGCAGCAGUGGGGAAUAUUGGACAAUGGGCGAAAGCCUGAUCCAGCAAUGCCGCGUGAGUGAUGAAGGCCCUAGGGUUGUAAAGCUCUUUUACCCGGGAUGAUAAUGACAGUACCGGGAGAAUAAGCCCCGGCUAACUCCGUGCCAGCAGCCGCGGUAA